rnacentral:rRNA from 1 species
GUCUACGGCCAUGCCACCAUGAACAAGCCCGAUGUCUGAUCUCGGAGGCUAAGCAGGGUUGGGCCUGGUUAGUACUUGGAUGGGAGACCACCUAGGAAGACCAGGUGCUGUAGGCA